rnacentral:miRNA from 1 species
CCCUGUGCUUUAGGAGAGCAAAA